CCUACGGGGGGCUGCAGUGGGGAAUAUUGGACAAUGGGGGGAACCCUGAUCCAGCCAUGCCGCGUGUGUGAAGAAGGCCCUCGGGUUGUAAAGCACUUUCAGUGAGGAAGAACGCCUGGUGGUUAAUACCCAUCAGGAAAGACAUCACUCACAGAAGAAGCACCGGCUAACUCCGUGCCAGCAGCCGCGGUAAUACGGAGGGUGCGAGCGUUAAUCGGAAUUACUGGGCGUAAAGCGCGCGUAGGUGGCUUGAUAAGCCGGUUGUGAAAGCCCCGGGCUCAACCUGGGAACGGCAUCCGGAACUGUCAAGCUAGAGUGCAGGAGAGGAAGGUAGAAUUCCCGGUGUAGCGGUGAAAUGCGUAGAGAUCGGGAGGAAUACCAGUGGCGAAGGCGGCCUUCUGGACUGACACUGACACUGAGGUGCGAAAGCGUGGGUAGCGAACAGGAUUAGAUACCCUUGUAGUC
rnacentral:rRNA from 1 species